GUUGUGAAUCCUGCCCACUUCUUUGCAUGGUCAGCACAUGCUUCAGUGCUCUGAGAGUGUUUAUAGAGCUGUGAGUUUAACACUUCAUGACUGAGAGCAGAACAGAACACAAUCUUCAUCAUCACACAAGACACAACAACAACAAUGAACAACAUCAUCAUCCUCAUCUGGACCACUGCAGCUUUUAUUCAAGCCUCCAGAGGAGUCACUCUGACUCAACCUAAAGUUAAAACUGUCCAGCUCGGUCAAACAGCUACAAUAGAGUGUAACAUAGAUGUAGGGAUAUACUAUAGCAGGUUAGCCUGGUAUCAGCAAAAACCUGGAGAAGCUCCUAAACUCCUCAUUUAUUACAUAAAAACCCUCCAGUCAGGAACUCCAUCUAGAUUCAGUGGCAGUGGAACAGCAAAUACUGGAAAAGAUUUCACUCUCACCAUCAGUGGAGUCCAGACUGAAGAUACAGGAGAUUAUUACUGUCAGAGUGAACACUCUAUCAGUAGUAGCUGGGUGUUCACACAGUGAUAAAGAGUCGUACAAAAACCUCCGUCAGUCAGAGUCACAGUGACUGCACUGAUACAGCUGAGAGACACUGCAGCUGCUGAUG